GACGAACGCUGGCGGCGUGCUUAACACAUGCAAGUCGAACGGAAAGGCCCCCUUGUGGGGUACUCGAGUGGCGAACGGGUGAGUAACACGUGAGUAACCUACCCUUGACUUUGGGGUAACUUCAGGAAACUGGGGCUAAUACCGGAUAGGAGCUCCUGCUGCAUGGUGGGGGUUGGAAAGUUUCGGCGGUUGGGGAUGGACUCGCGGCUUAUCAGCUUGUUGGUGGGGUAGUGGCUCACCAAGGCUUUGACGGGUAGCCGGCCUGAGAGGGUGACCGGCCACAUUGGGACUGAGAUACGGCCCAGACUCCUACGGGAGGCAGCAGUGGGGAAUAUUGCACAAUGGGCGGAAGCCUGAUGCAGCAACGCCGCGUGCGGGAUGACGGCCUUCGGGUUGUAAACCGCUUUCGCCUGUGACGAAGCGUGAGUGACGGUAAUGGGUAAAGAAGCACCGGCUAACUACGUG
rnacentral:rRNA from 1 species